GGGGCUAUAGCUCAGUGGCCGAGCACGUGCUUUGAAUGCAAAAGGUCGCAGGUUCAAUCCCCGACGGCAUCU